CCUGCAGCUCUCAUUGUCACUGUGUGAAUAGAUGCUGACCAAUUCGACUCCCCGGCUCACCGUGGCAUUUACAGUCUCUUCCUUUUGGUUUCCAUGGAGUGACUGUCUCUCAUUGUGGUUGGCAGUGACCUGUGUUUUUCAUGCAUGUUUUUGUUUCAGAAUAACUGGGAGACGGAACAGGAAGCUCUAUGACACACUUGAUCGAAAAUGACACAGACUCAGAAAAACCAGGACUCAGCCCCCCAGCGCCUCUGCCUGCUGCCGGCUGGAAGGCAGGACAAGGGGUCUCCUGGGACCGGAUUCUAGCUGCUGUGGACGCUCAGGGUUUCCAUGUUCACUGGGAUGUUUCUGCAAUCUUUUGGUCAUGGAUGGUGCACUCGUGAUGUUGUCUUAUUUAUCCGGCCAGUCUCUUGUGUCUUAAUCCCUCUCCUUCAUUAAAGCAAAACUAAAGAAAACCAAACUGUUUGCUUAUUCGCUGUAUGGAAACCCCAGCUGAAGGGGCCGACCCAUGUCCACUGAGCUUCCCGAAGGCACAGGUGAUGCUCGUCUCCACCACGUGUUCCUUACGAUGUUGAGCUUGAACCUCAAUUACUCAGCCAUGGUUGUCCUACUUCUUAAAUCUCCAGAAGGUCUCUCUAGAGUCAGCAUGGCCAGGUCGACCUUUGAGAAGAACCCUGGAAUCCAUCUGGAAAUCUCUUGCCUCGCCCACCCUGAUUCUGGCUUGCACCUGUGACCCCAAGAUCACCAGGAGCCUUUCAGCUGGGGAUCUUGGCCUUGUCUGUGUCCUCCUCCCUGCCCCACAUCCACUACCCCUUUGCUUAUUCAUUCCCUAAAGUUUUCUCUGGGGCCUACUGUGUGCCCAUGGCUGCCGACAAGGCCCAGGUUGUGGCCAGCUCUGCCCCCACCUCCCAGCGCUGCUCACCUCCUGAGGGGUUUCGCUCAGGGAGCGCCGGACAGAUCACCAGGCCUGGCUCACUGAGAUGCCCUGAUUCCCCAGAUCCAUGCCUCAGAUCUGAGGCCUGGAACUGGCCCCUGAAUAGUCCUCAAAGAAACAAGAUGGCAGGCCAGCCUCCCCUGCCCCAGGCCACGAGCAGGACAACCCACUUCCCUGAGGAUGUGCCGAGAGAGGCCACUUGUUGUCACCUCCCAGUACUGUCUCUUCAUCUAUAAGCAGACGUUCCAGAACAAUGCUGAGUGGGUCAGCUCGUCACUUCUCCGCAAGGCUGCCACGCUGAGCCGUCUGGCCUUCUGACCAGGGUUUUGGUGGGCACUUCGAGUCCAUCUCUGAGGCUGGUUGACGCUGUGGCCAGGACUGGCCAGUGUCAGCCAGGCUCUCUCCAUGACACUGCCCAACAGGAAAGGUGGCCUGCGAAUCGAUUCGCAUCAGAAACCCAAAGUUGCUCAGCUAUGUUUUUAAAAAAGUUUAUUUGCUUAUAUUCCUGGAAAAUUGUGUUGUGGAGGGACGUGUCCUCAGUGGGCUGUCUCUAGCUGCUGCUUCUCAGCAGGACAUUAAGAAGGCCAGAUAAAGUGACUCUUAAGAU
rnacentral:lncRNA from 1 species